AUAUUGAAACACCAGUUCCCAUACUAAAGUUAAGCAACAUCGAGCCUGGUCAGUACGUAGAUGGGGGACUGCUUGGGAAUACCAGGUGCUAUA